ensembl:snoRNA
ACGUUCAAAACACAUCCACUCUGUAGUAAUGCUAGCAGAGUACACACAAGAAGAAAAAUAACUGCACUAGAUUGUAAAGACUGGGGUGGACCUCUUUCUUAAUGUCCAGUGUCUUUUGUCUUAAGAUUUGGUGUUAUAUGU